GAUGAACGCUGGCGGCGUGCCUAAUACAUGCAAGUCGAGCGAACUGAUUAGAAGCUUGCUCCUAUGAUGUUAGCGGCGGACGGGUGAGUAACACGUGGGCAACCUGCCUGUAAGACUGGGAUAACUUCGGGAAACCGAAGCUAAUACCGGAUAGGAUCUUCUCCUUCAUGGGAGAUGAUUGAAAGAUGGUUUCGGCUAUCACUUACAGAUGGGCCCGCGGUGCAUUAGCUAGUUGGUGAGGUAACGGCUCACCAAGGCAACGAUGCAUAGCCGACCUGAGAGGGUGAUCGGCCACACUGGGACUGAGACACGGCCCAGACUCCUACGGGAGGCAGCAGUAGGGAAUCUUCCGCAAUGGACGAAAGUCUGACGGAGCAACGCCGCGUGAGUGAUGAAGGCUUUCGGGUCGUAAAACUCUGUUGUUAGGGAAGAACAAGUACAAGAGUAACUGCUUGUACCUUGACGGUACCUAACCAGAAAGCUACGGCUAACUACGUGCCAGCCGCCGCAGUAA
rnacentral:rRNA from 1 species